AGAGUUUGAUCCUGGCUCAGGACGAACGCUGGCGGCGUGGAUUAGGCAUGCAAGUCGAACGGUAUAAACCUUUCGGGGUUUAGAGAGUGGCGAACGGGUGAGUAACACGUAGGUAAUCUACCCUCAAAACGGGGACAACCCAGGGAAACUUGGGCUAAUACCGGAUGCGUGCAAGCAAUGUUUUGGCUGUUAAUGCUAUUCACGGAAGUGAGUAGUGUUAAUGGUUGAGAGCAUUAUUUGCAUAAAAGGUGGCAUAUGCUGCCGUUUGAGGAUGAGCCUGCGUCCUAUUAGUUAGUUGGUGAGGUAAUGGCUUACCAAGGCGAUGAUAGGUAGGCGGCCUUAACGGGUGGUCGCCCACACUGGGAUUGAGAUACGGCCCAGACUCCUACGGGAGGCAGCAGUCGAGAAUAGUCUACAAUGGACGGAAGUCUGAUAGUGCGACGCCGCGUGAACGAAGAAUCCCUUCGGGGUGUAAAGUUCUUUUAUACGUGAGCAGUGCCCUUUAUAUGAAUAGUAUAGAGGGAGGGAUUUAAGCGUAUGAAUAAGCAACGGCUAACUCCGUGCCAGCAGCCGCGGUAACACGGGGGUUGCAAGCGUUGUCCGGAAUUACUAGGCGUAAAGUGCAGGUAGGCGGAUAGAUAAGUUUAAGGUUAAAGGCUACGGCUUACCCGUAGUAAGGCGUUAGAUACUGUUUAUCUGGAAUGCGGUUGAGGGAGACAGAAUUCCUGGUGUAGCGGUGGAAUGCGCAGAGAUCAGGAGGAAUACCGAAGGCGAAGGCAGUCUUCUAAGCCGAUAUUGACGCUAAACUGCGAAGGUGUGGGGAUCAAACAGGAUUAGAUACCCUGGUAGUCCACACAGUAAACGAUAAUCACUAGGUGUUGGGUUCGUAUAGGACUCGGUGCCGGAGCUAACGCGAUAAGUGAUUCGCCUGGGGAGUACGAUCGCAAGGUUGAAACUCAAAGGAAUUGACGGGGGCCCGCACAAGCGGUGGAGCAUGUGGUUUAAUUCGACGCAACGCGAAGAACCUUACCCGGUCUUGACAUCUGCAGAAUUCUUCAGAGAUGGAGGAGUGCCGGCUUGCCGGAGCUGCAAGACAGGUGCUGCAUGGCUGUCGUCAGCUCGUGUCGUGAGAUGUUGGGUUAAGUC
rnacentral:rRNA from 1 species